GUGGUUGCAUGAUCUGAAUAACGUGUUAU
rnacentral:sRNA from 1 species